rnacentral:rRNA from 1 species
UACGUAGGGGGCAAGCGUUGUCCGGAUUUAUUGGGCGUAAAGAGCUCGUAGGCGGCUUGUCACGUCGGGUGUGAAAGCCCGGGGCUUAACCCCGGGUCUGCAUUCGAUACGGGCUAGCUAGAGUGUGGUAGGGGAGAUCGGAAUUCCUGGUGUAGCGGUGAAAUGCGCAGAUAUCAGGAGGAACACCGGUGGCGAAGGCGGAUCUCUGGGCCAUUACUGACGCUGAGGAGCGAAAGCCAGGGGAGCAAACGGG